rnacentral:tRNA from 1 species
GCCCGGGUGUCUCAGUGAGUUGAGCGUCUGACUUCGGCUCAGGUCACGAUCUCACAGCUCGUGAGUUCAAGUCCCACGUCGGGCU